rnacentral:tRNA from 2 species
GGGCCAGUGGCGCAGUUGGGAGCGCGUCUCAAUGGCAUUGAGAAGGUCAGGGGUUCAAGUCCCCUCUGGUCCA